rnacentral:tRNA from 1 species
GAAGGUAUAGCUCAGUGGUAGAGCAUUUGCUUAGCAUGCAUUAGGUGUGGGUUCAAUCCCCAGUACCUCCA